rnacentral:rRNA from 1 species
GACGAACGCUGGCGGCGUGCUUAACACAUGCAAGUCGAACGGAAAGGCCCUGCUUUUGUGGGGUGCUCUAGUUGCGAACGGGUGAGUAACACGUGAGUAACCUGCCCUUGACUUUGGGAUAACUUCAGGAAACUGGGUCUAAUACCGGAUAGGAGCUCCUGCUGCAUGGUGGGGGUUGGAAAGUUUCGGCGGUUGGGGAUGGACUCGCGGCUUAUCAGCUUGUUGGUGGGGUAGUGGCUUACCAAGGCUUUGACGGGUAGCCGGCCUGAGAGGGUGACCGGCCACAUUGGGACGGAGAUACGGCCCAGACUCCUACGGGAGGCAGCAGUGGAGAAUAUUGCACAAUGGGCGGAAGCCUGAUGCAGCAACGCCGCGUGCGGGAUGACGGCCUUCGGGUUGUAAACCGCUUUCGCCUGUGACGAAGCGUGAGUGACGGUAAUGGGUAAAGAAGCACCGGCUAACUACGUG